rnacentral:rRNA from 1 species
AGAGUUUGAUCCUGGCUCAGGACGAACGCUGGCGGCGCGCCUAACACAUGCAAGUCGAACGAGAGAGAGGGAGCUUGCUUCCUCAAUCGAGUGGCGAACGGGUGAGUAACGCGUGAGGAACCUGCCUCAAAGAGGGGGACAACAGUUGGAAACGACUGCUAAUACCGCAUAAGCCCACGGGUCGGCAUCGACCAGAGGGAAAAGGAGCAAUCCGCUUUGAGAUGGCCUCGCGUCCGAUUAGCUAGUUGGUGAGGUAAUGGCCCACCAAGGCAACGAUCGGGUAGCCGGACUGGAGAGGUUAGAACGGUCCACAGUUGGGACUGAGACACGGCCCAGACCUCCGUACGGGAGGCA